rnacentral:rRNA from 1 species
UACGUAGGGGGCUAGCGUUGUCCGGAUUUAUUGGGCGUAAAGAGCUCGUAGGCGGUUCGAUAAGUCGGACGUGAAAUCUCCACGCUCAACGUGGAGGGGCCGUUCGAUACUGUCGUGACUCGAGUCCGGGUAGGGGAGUGUGGAAUUCCCGGUGUAGCGGUGAAAUGCGCAGAGAUCGGGAGGAACACCCGUAGCGAAGGCGGCACUCUGGGCCGGUACUGGACGCUGAGGAGCGAAAGCGUGGGGAGCCAACAGGG